UACGUAGGUGGCAAGCGUUGUUCGGAAUUAUUGGGCGUAAAGGGCGCGUAGGCGGUUUUGUAAGUCAGCUGUGAAAGCCCGGGGCUCAACCCCGGAGGGUCGGCUGAUACUGCAGGACUAGAGUACGGAAGAGGUAGCUGGAAUUCACGGUGUAGCAGUGAAAUGCGUAGAUAUCGUGAGGAAGACCAGUGGCGAAGGCGGGUCUCUGGACAGUUCCUGACGCUGAGGCGCGAAGGCCAGGGGAGCAAACGGG
rnacentral:rRNA from 1 species